AUUGAACGCUGGCGGCAGGCCUAACACAUGCAAGUCGAGCGAGCGGCGGACGGGUGAGUAAUGUAUGUGGACUGCUCGAUAGAGGGGGAUAACUACUGGAAACGGUAGCUAAUACCGCAUCCUAUCGGAUAACCCUUAUGGGAGUGGCUAGCAGGUGAGGUAAUGGCUCACCUAGGCGACGAUCCCUAGCUAGUCUGAGAGGAUGAUCAGCCACGCUGGGACUGAGACACGGCCCAGACUCCUACGGAGGCAGCAGUGGGGAAUAUUGCACAAUGGGCGCAAGCCUGAUGCAGCCAUGCCGCGUGUAUGAAGAAGGCCCUAGGGUUGUAAAGUACUUUUGGCAGAGAAGCGGUAUCUGCAGAAUAAGCACCGGCUAACUACGUGCCAGCCGCCGCGGUAAUAC
rnacentral:rRNA from 1 species